UACGUAGGUGGCAAGCGUUAUCCGGAAUUAUUGGGCGUAAAGAGCGCGCAGGUGGUUAAUUAAGUCUGAUGUGAAAGCCCACGGCUUAACCGUGGAGGGUCAUUGGAAACUGGUUGACUUGAGUGCAGAAGAGGGAAGUGGAAUUCCGUGUGUAGCGGUGAAAUGCGUAGAUAUAUGGAGGAACACCGGUGGCGAAAGCGGCUCUCUGGCCUGUAACUGACACUGAGGCUCGAAAGCGUGGGGAGCAAACAGG
rnacentral:rRNA from 1 species